rnacentral:rRNA from 1 species
AGUGAACGCUGGCGGUAGGCCUAACACAUGCAAGUCGAACGGCAGCACAGUAAGGGCUUGCUCUUACGGGUGGCGAGUGGCGGACGGGUGAGGAAUACAUCGGAAUCUACUUUUUCGUGGGGGAUAACGUAGGGAAACUUACGCUAAUACCGCAUACGACCUACGGGUGAAAGCAGGGGAUCUUCGGACCUUGCGCGAUUGAAUGGGCCGAUGUCGGAUUAGCUAGUUGGCGGGGUAAAGGCCCACCAAGGCGACGAUCCGUAGCUGGUCUGAGAGGACGAUCAGCCACACUGGAACUGAGACACGGUCCAGACUCCUACGGGAGGCAGCAGUGGGGAAUAUUGGACAAUGGGCGCAAGCCUGAUCCAGCCAUACCGCGUGGGUGAAGAAGGCCUUCGGGUUGUAAAGCCCUUUUGUUGGGAAAGAAAAGCAGCAGGUUAAUACCCCGCCGUUCUGACGGUACCCAAAGAAUAAGCACCGGCUAACUUCGUG